ensembl:lncRNA
UCUUGUCCUAUCACUAUCCACACUCAUAAACAGCCUUUCCCCAGGCCUCCUACCUUAGACGUGCCUGGGAAGCCUGUGGCUCUACUGAUGGUCUCUGUACAUGUCUGCAUCAGCUCAAAGAGCAAAGCUGUUACCCAGAGUUUUCAUCCACUUGGGGACAUUCUGGAGUGGAGGUAUAAGCUACAGAAAAGCAGAGAGCAACAAGUAGGAUCAGCAUUUAGGCUGCAGCUCUGGAGACCUGUUGUACAAGGAAGGAUCUGAGGCACAAAGGUAGCCUAAAAUCCCAGGAGGGAAAGGAACAUGUAGAUGUGGCACUGAAGGACAUGGUUUGGGGGGCAAUAUUGGUGGUAGGUAGACUAUUGGAGCAAAUUUUCUUAGAGGUCUUUUCUAACCUUACUGAUUCCAUGAGAUGCAUUGGCCUGACCCAGAGGCCUCUCUUCCAGACUGGUUCCAAACCAUUCCUCACAGGUGACUCUUCACAAGUGCUAGUUAGCUGCAUCCCACAACAAAUCCUUUUGGAGGACUUUUCUAAUAAUUCCUUGCUGUCUUUUAUGACCUCAGCUCUAUUUCCAAGCAAAGGCUUUAAGGCCAUUCUCAAGCACAUUCAGAGAAAAAGGACUGAUUUUUUCUCCCUUUCUGAAGUGAUGAGACACCGCAGCAUUCCUCAGGCCGGCAGUGUGGGCGUACGAGGUGCAGCCACCCUGCUCUUGUCCCUGCUCAGAGCUCGUGGUGACAGACAAAGGCAGCAGCUCGACAGCGUCCUGCCACCCUGCCCACACAGGAGCUCAGUGCUCAGCCCAGCGUGACGAGUCUUCUUAACCCCAUACAGUGAAAUAAGAGAUGCAAAGGAGGAGUCAUUCCUAUCAAAACACAAAGGCAAGGAGAGCACUUUCUAGAUGAACGGAAAGCCUAACAGAAGGCUUGGCUGCACAAGGAGGUGCCAUCAUGCCACACGUUGCAGCUAAUUUCCUCCAGAGACCAACAGAUAUACUUGUAAUCUCCCAUUUUUCACCCAGAUAAGUUUGUAUUUUACAGAAGAAUAAAAAUAU